AACGAACGCUGGCGGCAUGCCUAACACAUGCAAGUCGAACGAGACCUUCGGGUCUAGUGGCGCACGGGUGCGUAACGCGUGGGAAUCUGCCCUUGGGUUCGGAAUAACAGUUGGAAACGACUGCUAAUACCGGAUGAUGACGUAAGUCCAAAGAUUUAUCGCCCAAGGAUGAGCCGGCGUAGGAUUAGCUCGUUGGUGAGGUAAAGGCUAACCAAGGCGACGAUCCUUAGCUGGUCUGAGAGGAUGAUCAGCCACACUGGGACUGAGACGCGGCCCAGACUCCUACGGGAGGAAGCAGUGGGGAAUAUUGGACAAUGGGCGAAAGGCUGAUGCUGCAAGGCUGCGUGAGUGAUGAAGGCCUUAGGGGUGUAAAGCUCUUUUACCCGGGAUGAUAAUGACAGUACCGGGAGAAUAAGCUCCGGCUAACUCCGUG
rnacentral:rRNA from 1 species